UACGUAGGGGGCAAGCGUUGUCCGGAUUUACUGGGCGUAAAGAGCGUGUAGGCGGCCACGCAGGUCCGUUGUGAAAACUGGAGGCUCAACCUUCAGACGUCGACGGAAACCGUAUGGCUAGAGUCCGGAAGAGGAGAGUGGAAUUCCUGGUGUAGCGGUGAAAUGCGCAGAUAUCAGGAAGAACACCAAUGGCGAAGGCGGCAUCCUGGACCGAGAUUGACGCUGAGGCGCGAAAGCCAGGGGAGCAAACGGG
rnacentral:rRNA from 1 species